GGGCCCUAUAGCUCGAACGGUUAGAGCGCACGCCUGAUAAGCGUGAGGUCGGUGGUUCAGUCCACUUAGGCCCACCA
rnacentral:tRNA from 1 species